ACAAUGCACUUUUCUUUGUGCAUUCACACGAUGCAUUUUCUUUUCUUAUCACCAAACUGUUUUGAAAGAUAAAAGUACUUCCUGAAUAUGUGGAUGGUGAGCCACGUGAAUGGAAGACAUGGAGAUAUGGACUGUUAACACCUUGUCAAACAUUUAUUGUCCCUUCCACCUCUAAACUUCUGUGAUAAUAGGUGAACAGGACCCACGUGGUGCAGAAUACUGCGAUACACACUGCGGAAUAAUUCAGAACAACACGUGGAUUGCUCAGUACAACUUGUUCAUCACAUCCUCCUGUUCACUGAAGAAUUAUGGAAAUAUUCUCUGAGCUGCUUUCCUCCCUGCCCAACGAGUCAUCUCUGUGUGAAAGGCCAAGCUUAUAAAUCCUGAAGAAAGAGACAUUAUACAAAUGCAAGCUGUUGUCACAACAAUGAUAAGAAAUCAGGAGUCGAAAGAUGUGGAGUAAGGGGGAAUUUCAGAGAAACCACAAAACACAAAAUAGGAAACAGAGACAGGAGAAGAUUGCUAUGACAAAAUUGCAGAAGGUGAAAUCUUUGGCAGCCUCUUAUUUCUCUGGAGAAUAUGAUAUUGUCAGGCUGAGGUGGAAGAAUCACAUGGUCAUACUGUUGAAGAGGUCUUGAAACAUUGGGCUUUCCUCUACAAGCGGAAGGAUAGCACUGGCAGCCAUCCACUGGCCCAGCAAUAUCCUGGAUUGAGACGAUAUCAUUUGCAUUACUUGCUGAAUGAAACAUAGUGAAAAUGACUGCAGAUAACCUCAACUAAGUCCAAGAUAUCAUUUUCAAAUCUGGACCAGCCCUUGCCAUCUAGACUGAACAGAGAUUCCAGUUUCCAGGAGAGUAGAUGGAGUAAUGAUAAAAGCACCUCCCAAAACUUUUGCCUUGCUCCAUCAAAACUUAUAAAAUCUUGGGAAGAGGAACUGUGGCCCAUCACUGAUCAUUUCAUCUAUUAAGUGACCACUUAUUGUCUUAUAAUAGGAGAUGUUCUGGAAACAUGCAUUGAAUCGAAGUGGCUUUGAGGAAGCAUGAAGAGAAAACAGGAUGGCAUCCUUUUGGCACCAUUUCUUAUGCUAUAAUAAGGAUUCCUUCUGUUUACACAUAAAACAGAAGAGUUUAAUCACCCCAGCAAUCUUUAACUUGGUAAUGAAGGCCAUAAAUUAAAUUUUAAGCAAAGUUAAAGAAGAUGAGAUGAAAUAUAAAACAAAAACAUCAUCAGAAUCUGCCCAGGAACAAUAUUCUUGACACCAAACCAUGACAUUAUGGGGCUCAGUUGUUUGUUUCUAGGGCAGCCCCUUGUUUUAUGUGCCAAAUAGCAUUUCCCUAAAUAAAACUGCAUGGAACAAAAUGCCA
rnacentral:lncRNA from 1 species